rnacentral:rRNA from 1 species
UGGUGGAGUGAUUUGUCUGGUUGAUUCCGUUAACGAACGAGACCUCGACCUGCUCACUAGUCCGGCUCAUUCCUUUUCGAAAUUUCGGUUUCGUUAGUGAAUGGGAUUUUACCGGUUACUUCUUAGAGGGACUAUCGGUGUGUAGCCGAUGGAAGUUCGAGGCAAUAACA